rnacentral:rRNA from 1 species
UGCAAGUCGAACGAUGAAGUUCCUUCGGGAAUGGAUUAGUGGCGAACGGGUGAGGAACACGUGAGAAACCUGCCCUUCAUUCUGGGAUAACACCGGGAAACCGGUGCUAAUACCGGAUACUCCAUCUUGGCGGCAUCGCCGAGCUGGGAAAAAUUUUGAUGAAAGAUGGUCUCGCGGUCUAUCAGCUAGUUGGUGAGGUAAAGGCUCACCAAGGCGACGACGGGUAGCCGGCCUGAGAGGGCGACCGGCCACACUGGGACUGAGACACGGCCCAGACUCC